rnacentral:misc_RNA from 1 species
GAUGAAGAACGUAGCGAAAUGCGAUAAGUAAUGCGAAUUGCAGAUCUCCGUGAGUCAUUGAAUCUUUGAACGCACAUUGCGCCCGCCAGUAUUCUGGCGGGCAUGCCUGUUCGAGCGUCAUUUUCACCAUCAAGCUCUGCUUGUGUUGGGGUCCUGCGGCUGCCCGCAGGCCCUGAAACCCAGUGGCGGGCUCGCUAGUCACACCGAGCGCAGUAGCACAUCUCGCUCAGGGCGUGCGGCGGGUUCUUGCCGUAAAACAACCCCCCCUUUUCACCAAGGUUGACCUCGGAUCAGGUAGGAAUACCCGCUGAACUUAAGCAUAUCAAUAAGCGGAGGA